rnacentral:rRNA from 1 species
UACAGAGGUCCCAAGCGUUGUUCGGAUUCACUGGGCGUAAAGGGUGCGCAGGUGGUCGGGUAAGUCUGACGUGAAAUCCCGCAGCUUAACUGCGGAAUGGCAUUGGAUACUAUUCGGCUAGAGGGUUGGAGGGGGGACUGGAAUUCUCGGUGUAGCAGUGAAAUGCGUAGUUAUCGAGAGGAACACCAGUGGCGAAGGCGAGUCCCUGGACAACUCCUGACGCUGAGGCACGAAAGCUAGGGGAGCAAACAGG